rnacentral:rRNA from 1 species
AGUGAACGCUGGCGGUAGGCCUAACACAUGCCAGUCGAACGGCAGCACAGUAAGAGCUUGCUCUUACGGGUGGCGAGUGGCGGACGGGUGAGGAAUACAUCGGAAUCUACUUUUUCGUGGGGGAUAACGUAGGGAAACUUACGCUAAUACCGCAUACGACCUACGGGUGAAAGCAGGGGAUCUUCGGACCUUGCGCGAUUGAAUGAGCCGACGUCGGAUUAGCUAGUUGGCGGGGUAAAGGCCCACCAAGGCGACGAUCCGUAGCUGGUCUGAGAGGAUGAUCAGCCACACUGGAACUGAGACACGGUCCAGACUCCUACGGGAGGCAGCAGUGGGGAAUAUUGGACAAUGGGCGCAAGCCUGAUCCAGCCAUACCGCGUGGGUGAAGAAGGCCUUCGGGUUGUAAAGCCCUUUUGUUGGGAAAGAAAAGCAGCAGGUUAAUACCCCGCUGUUCUGACGGUACCCAAAGAAUAAGCACCGGCUAACUUCGUG